AUGAAUGAAUGUUGUUUACUUCCUCUUCUAUGGGACUUUUGAUGAUGAGGUAUCACUCCGCCAGAAAAGUAGAGACCUGUGUAUGUGUUUCAUGUUUCCAACAAAGGAAUGAAUGUUGUUUACUUCCUCUUCUAUGGGACUUUUGAUGAUGAGGUAUCACUCCGCCAGAAAAGUAGAGACCUGUGUAUGUGUUUCAUGUUUCCAACAAAGACUUUUGAUGAUGAGGUAUCACUCCGCCAGAAAAGUAGAGACCUGUGUAUGUGUUUCAUGUUUCCAACAAAGGUAUGUUGAU